GAUGAACGCUAGCUACAGGCUUAACACAUGCAAGUCGAGGGGUAACGAGAGGAAGGCUUGCUUUCCUUGUCGACGACCGGCGCACGGGUGAGUAACGCGUAUCCAACCUGCCCCCAACUAAGGAAUAACCUUGCGAAAGUAAGACUAAUACCUUAUAAUUUCCUCAGAUGUCAUCUGACGAGGAAUAAAGAUUUAUCGGUUGUGGAUGGGGAUGCGUCUGAUUAUCUUGUUGGCGGGGUAACGGCCCACCAAGGCAACGAUCAGCAGGGGUUCUGAGAGGAAGGUCCCCCACAUUGGAACUGAGACACGGUCCAAACUCCUACGGGAGGCAGCAGUGAGGAAUAUUGGUCAAUGGGCGAAAGCCUGAACCAGCCAAGUAGCGUGCAGGAUGACGGCCCUAUGGGUUGUAAACUGCUUUUAUACAGGAAUAAAGUUAGCCACGUGUGGUUAUUUGUAGGUACUGUAUGAAUAAGGACCGGCUAAUUCCGUGCCAGCCGCCGCAGUAA
rnacentral:rRNA from 1 species